rnacentral:rRNA from 1 species
UACGGGGGGGGGCAAGCGUUUAAUCGGAAUUACUGGGCGUAAAGCGUGCGCAGGCGGUUAUGUAAGACAGAUGUGAAAUGCCCGGGCUUAACCUGGGAACUGCAUUUGUGACUGCAUGGCUAGAGUUUGGCAGAGGGGGGUAGAAUUCCACGUGUAGCAGUGAAAUGCGUAGAUAUGUGGAGGAACACCGAUGGCGAAGGCAGCCCCCUGGGUCAAGACUGACGCUCAUG